UUGACCUCGGAUCAGGUAGGAAUACCCGCUGAACUUAAGCAUAUCAAUAAGCGGAGGAAA
rnacentral:rRNA from 23 species